GGAAGUGAACCAUCUCAGUACCCGGAGGAGAAGAAAACAAGACAGUGAUUCCGUAAGUAGUGGCGAGCGAACGCGGAAGAGCCCAAACCAUUGUUAUGUAAGGUUGCAGCCGUUGUAACAGUGGGGUUGUAGGAUAAGACCUGAGAGUACUGCGAUACUUUCAAGGAGUAAGAAACCUGAAUUUUAGCUGAAGAGUUUUGGAACAGCUCAUCGAAGAAGGUGAAAAUCCUGUAGGCGAAAGGAUUCAGGCUCCUGGUUUUAGACCUGAGUACGGCGGGACACGAGAAACCCUGUCGGAAGCUGGGGGGACCAUCUCCCAAGGCUAAAUACUCCUGACUGACCGAUAGUGAACCAGUACCGUGAGGGAAAGGUGAAAAGAACUCCUGCUAGGAGAGUGAAAUAGUACCUGAAACCGUAUAUCUACAAGCAGUGGGAGCACUAUGUUGAUCUUCGGGUUGACGGUGCGACCGCGUGCCUUUUGCAUAAUGAGCCGGCUAGUU
rnacentral:rRNA from 1 species